rnacentral:rRNA from 1 species
ACGAUGAACAUUGCAAAGAGUGGCGAACGGGUGAGUAACACGUGGAUAACCUGCCUCAAGGCUGGGGAUAACAUUUGGAAACAGAUGCUAAUACCGAAUAAAACUUAAGUAUCGCAUGAUAUAAAGUUAAAAAGGCGCUACGGCGUCACCUAGAGAUGGACCCGCGGUGCAUUAGUUAGUUGGUGAGGUAAAGGCUCACCAAGACCGUGAUGCAUAGCCGACCUGAGAGGGUAAUCGGCCACACUGGGACUGAGACACGGCCCAGACUCC